AUACGGAGGGUGCAAGCGUUACUCGGAAUCACUGGGCGUAAAGCGCGCGCAGGCGGUCUUUUAAGUUGGAUGUGAAAGCCUACGGCUCAACCGUAGAACUGCAUCCAAAACUAUUAGACUAGAGUGUGGGAGAGGAAGAUGGAACUAGUUGCGUAGGGGUAAAAUCCGUAGAGAUAACUAGGAAUACCAAAAGCGAAGGCAAUCUUCUGGAACACUACUGACGCUGAGGCGCGAAAGCGUGGGGAGCAAACAGGAUUAGAUACCCUAGUAGUCC
rnacentral:rRNA from 1 species